UACGUAGGGUGCAAGCGUUGUCCGGAAUUAUUGGGCGUAAAGAGCUCGUAGGCGGUCUGUCGCGUCUGCUGUGAAAACCUAGGGCUUAACUCUGGGCGUGCAGUGGGUACGGGCAGGCUAGAGUGCGGUAGGGGGAGACUGGAAUUCCUGGUGUAGCGGUGAAAUGCGCAGAUAUCAGGAGGAACACCGGGUGGCGAAGGCGGGUCUCUGGGCCGUAACUGACGCUGAGGCACGAAAGCCAGGGGAGCAAACGGG
rnacentral:rRNA from 1 species